rnacentral:tRNA from 3 species
GGAUCUGUAGCCCAAAUGGAAGAGGCAACAGGCUUAGACCCUGUUCAGUGUGGGUUCGACUCCCUCCAGAUUCACCA